rnacentral:pre_miRNA from 1 species
CAAUUACUCCCUCCGUCCUUCCGUCUCAAAAAUUUUGUCUUAAAUUUGUUUCGAUAUAAAUGUAUCUAGUCACUUUUUAGUAUUUUGAUACAUUCAUUUUUAAACAAACCUAAUAUAAAAUUUUAGGACGGAGGGAGUAUAAU